GACGAACGCUGGCGGCGUGCUUAACACAUGCAAGUCGAACGGAAAGGCCCUGCUUUUGUGGGGUGCUCGAGUGGCGAACGGGUGAGUAACACGUGAGUAACCUGCCCUUGACUUUGGGAUAACUUCAGGAAACUGGGGCUAAUACCGGAUAGGAGCUCCUGCUGCAUGGUGGGGGUUGGAAAGUUUCGGCGGUUGGGGAUGGACUCGCGGCUUAUCAGCUUGUUGGUGGGGUAGUGGCUUACCAAGGCUUUGACGGGUAGCCGGCCUGAGAGGGUGACCGGCCACAUUAGGACUGAGAUACGGCGCAGACUCCUACGGGAGGCAGCAGUGGGGAAUAUUGCACAAUGGGCGGAAGCCUGAUGCAGCAACGCCGCGUGCGGGAUGACGGCCUUCGGGUUGUAAACCGCUUUCGCCUGUGACGAAGCGUGAGUGACGGUAAUGGGUAAAGAAGCACCGGCUAACUACGUG
rnacentral:rRNA from 1 species